rnacentral:misc_RNA from 1 species
AAUGAAGAACAGCUAUACUUUACGAGUACAUCCUCAUCAAUUUGGGCAUGCAGAUGCUUCAGAGACAAACUGGGAUGAGAGACUUGAGGACAGAAGUGUUCCACGAAAACCUUCUUCAGUUUUUCGUUCUUCCAUUUUCUGGCUAGAAAGCUCAUCUGCAAUAUCACGAUGCUCAUGAAUCUCAGAAUCUGUCACCCAUAGUACAUCUCCAGGGAAUAUAUUCAGGUCAGCAAGACAAGCAGAUUCGCCAUCAAUUACCAGAGAACCCUUGUGAAGUACCUGAUUUUCCUUGAUUAUCCCAAAAGCUUCCCAUAUCAUCAUCUUCAGCUGGUAGACAGAUGUGGACCCAGAAACAUUCAACUUCACUGAGUUUCCAAAUGCUGUCUUCCUGGAACGCUUUGAGGUCCGUCGAUUUGGUUCCAGGCUGUUCACUGAUGCUUCUAGAACUGAUUUUGGAGGUUCCUUGCCGCGAACGAAGCAGACACAAAUAUCCUCGUCGGAAUAGUUGAGUUUCCUCUUUAAUUCACAGCUUUUCCUUUCA